AGAACGAACGCUGGCGGCAUGCCUAAUACAUGCAAGUCGAACGAACACUUCGGUGUUAGUGGCGCACGGGUGCGUAACGCGUGGGAAUCUGCCCUUGGGUUCGGAAUAACAGUUGGAAACGACUGCUAAUACCGGAUGAUGACGAGAGUCCAAAGAUUUAUCGCCCAGGGAUGAGCCCGCGUAGGAUUAGCUUGUUGGUGAGGUAAUGGCUCACCAAGGCUACGAUCAGUAGCUGGUCUGAGAGGAUGACCAGCCACAUUGGGACUGAGACACGGCCCAAACUCCUACGGGAGGCAGCAGUGGGGAAUCUUGCGCAAUGGGCGAAAGCCUGACGCAAGCCAUGCCGCGUGUAUGAUGAAGGUCUUAAGGAUUUAGUAAAAUUACUUUCACCGGUGAAGAUAAUGACUAGUAGACCGGAAGAAGAACGCCCCGGACUUAACCGUCGUAGCCAGCCAGCCGAC
rnacentral:rRNA from 1 species